rnacentral:sRNA from 1 species
GUCGUGAGAUGUUGGGUUAAGUCCCGCAACGAGCGCAACCCUUGUCAUUAGUUGCUACAUUUAGUUGGGCACUCUAAUGAGACUGCCGGUGACAAACCGGAGGAAGGUGGGGAUGACGUCAAGUCCUCAUGGCCCUUAUGGGUAGGGCUUCACACGUAAUACAAUGGCGCGUACAGAGGGUUGCCAAGGAGCGAUCUGGAGCCAAUCCCGUAAAGCGCGUCGUAGUCCGGAUUGGAGUCUGCAACUCGACUCCAUGAAGUCGGAAUCGCUAGUAAUCGCGGAUCAGCAUGUCGCGGUGAAUACGUUCCCGGGUCUUGUACACACCGCCCGUCACACCAUGGGAGUGGGUUUCACCAGAAGCAGGUCGCUUAACCGCAAGGAUGGCGCCUACCACGGUGAGAUUCAUGACUGGGGUGAAGUCGUAACAAGGUAGCCGUAUCGGAAGGUGCGGCUGGAUCACCUCCUUUCUAAGUCAAGCGCCUACCCAGCGCCCACCAUCUAUCGGCUGUUUCUUCGCGAAGAGCGCGGAGUUGACCUUUCGGGUCUGUAGCUCAGUUGGUUAGAGCACCGUCUUGAUAAGGCGGGGGUCGAUGGUUCGAAUCCAUCCAGACCCACCACGACUCCUGGCUCUUUAACAAUCUGGAAAGAAGGUAGUUGUCCUUUGCGAAAGCGUCUUGUGAUGAGGCGUGAGUAGUGGGGACACUGGGUUAUGUAUUGCAUCGUGUCUCACGAGUGAAAUCGUGGGAUGCACAAGCGUGAGAAUUUCCUAUGAUUUUCGUGAUGCCUUGGGGGACUUUGCCCUGGGGUGCUUCGUUAAGAGGCAGCGAGGUUAUAGGGUCAAGCGAAUAAGUGCAUGUGGUAGAUGCCUUGGCAACGAUAGGCGAUGAAGGACGUGACAGCCUGCGAUAAGCUGCGGGGAGCCGGCAAAUGGGCGCUGAUCCGCAGAUUU